rnacentral:rRNA from 1 species
AGUAACGCGUGGGUAACCUGCCCUGUACACACAGAUAACAUACCGAAAGGUAUGCUAAUACGAGAUAAAAUACUUUUAUCGCAUGGUAGAAGUAUCAAAGCUUUUGCGGUACAGGAUGGACCCGCGUCUGAUUAGCUAGUUGGUAGGGUAACGGCUUACCAAGGCGACGAUCAGUAGCCGACCUGAGAGGGUGAUCGGCCACAUUGGAACUGAGACACGGUCCAAACUCCUACGGGAGGCAGCAGUGGGGAAUAUUGCACAAUGGGCGAAAGCCUGAUGCAGCAACGCCGCGUGAGCGAUGAAGGCCUUCGGGUCGUAAAGCUCUGUCCUCAAGGAAGAUAAUGACGGUACUUGAGGAGGAAGCCCCGGCUAACUACGUGCCAGCAGCCGCGGUAAUACGUAGGGGGCUAGCGUUAUCCGGAAUUACUGGGCGUAAAGGGUACGUAGGUGGUUUCUUAAGUCAGAGGUGAAAGGCUACGGCUCAACCGUAGUAAGCCUUUGAAACUGGGAAACUUGAGUGCAGGAGAGGAGAGUGGAAUUCCUAGUGUAGCGGUGAAAUGCGUAGAUAUUAGGAGGAACACCAGUUGCGAAGGCGGCUCUCUGGACUGUAACUGACACUGAGGCACGAAAGCGUGGGGAGCAAACAGGAUUAGAUACCCUGGUAGUCCACGCCGUAAACGAUGAGUACUAGCUGUCGGAGGUUACCCCCUUCGGUGGCGCAGCUAACGCAUUAAGUACUCCGCCUGGGAAGUACGCUCGCAAGAGUGAAACUCAAAGGAAUUGACGG